rnacentral:ribozyme from 1 species
AAAGAAAAAGAGAAGAAGAAGAAGGAAAAAAAAAAAAAAAUAGUUGAAUAUUAUGGUUUCUUUUGUGUGAGUUUUUUU